UAGCAGCCGACUUAGAACUGGUGCGGACCGGGGGAAUCCGACUGUUUAAUUAAAACAAAGCAUCGCGAAGGCCCGCGGCGGGUGUUGACGCGAUGUGGAUUUCUGCCCAGUGCUCUGAAAUGUCAAAGUGAAGAAAU
rnacentral:miRNA from 1 species